AUUGAACGCUGGCGGCAGGCCUAACACAUGCAAGUCGAGCGGAGCGGCGGACGGGUGAGUAAUGCCUAGGAAUCUGCCUGGUAGUGGGGGAUAACGUCCGGAAACGGGAGCUAAUACCGCAUACUAUCAGAUGAGCCUAGGUCGGAUUAGCUAGGUGGUGGGGUAAAGGCCUACCAAGGCGACGAUCCGUAACUGGUCUUCGGGGAGGAUCAGUCACACUGGAACGGAGACACGGUCCAGACUCCCACGGGAGGCAGCAGUGGGGAAUAUUGCACAAUGUGCGCAAGCCUGAUGCAGCCAUGCCGAGUGUAUGAAGAAGGCCUGCGGGUUGUAAAGUACUUUCAGCGGGGAGGCGUUACCCGCAGAAGAAGCACCGGCUAACUCCGUGCCAGCAGCCGCGGUAAUAC
rnacentral:rRNA from 1 species